AUUGAACGCUGGCGGCAGGCCUAACACAUGCAAGUCGAGCGGAUGAGGGAAGCUUGCUUCCCGAUUUAGCGGCGGACGGGUGAGUAAUGCCUAGGAAUCUGCCUAUUAGUGGGGGAUAACGUUCCGAAAGGAACGCUAAUACCGCAUACGUCCUAAGGGAGAAAGUGGGGGAUCUUCGGACCUCACGCUAAUAGAUGAGCCUAGGUCGGAUUAGCUAGUUGGUGAGGUAACGGCUCACCAAGGCGACGAUCCGUAGCUGGUCUGAGAGGAUGAUCAGCCACACUGGAACUGAGACACGGUCCAGACUCCUACGGGAGGCAGCAGUGGGGAAUAUUGGACAAUGGGCGAAAGCCUGAUCCAGCCAUGCCGCGUGUGUGAAGGAGGUCUUCGGAUUGUAAAGCACUUUAAGUUGGGAGGAAGAGUUGUAAGCUAAUAUCUUGCAGCUUUGACGUUACCAACAGAAUAAGCACCGGCUAACUCUGUGCCAGCAGCCGCCGUAAUAC
rnacentral:rRNA from 1 species